AACGAACGCUGGCGGCAUGCCUAACACAUGCAAGUCGAACGAAGGCUUCGGCCUUAGUGGCGCACGGGUGAGUAACACGUGGGAACCUGCCUUCUGGUUCGGGAUAACGUUUGGAAACGAACGCUAACACCGGAUAAGCCCUUCGGGGGAAAGUUUACGCCAGGAGAGGGGCCCGCGUCCGAUUAGGUAGUUGGUGAGGUAACGGCUCACCAAGCCGACGAUCGGUAGCUGGUCUGAGAGGAUGAUCAGCCACACUGGGACUGAGACACGGCCCAGACUCCUACGGGAGGCAGCAGUGGGGAAUAUUGGACAAUGGGCGCAAGCCUGAUCCAGCAAUGCCGCGUGAGUGAUGAAGGCCUUAGGGUUGUAAAGCUCUUUCGCACGUGACGAUGAUGACGGUAACGUGAGAAGAAGCCCCGGCUAACUUCGUGCCAGCAGCCGCCGUAA
rnacentral:rRNA from 1 species